CGUCCCGACUAGUAGCCCGUGGGUCUCUGAGGAUGGAAGAAACCUGAAUUCUUGAAUAAAGGUUAAGGCCAUACAUGCCAUUAAGUUUCCGUAGCAAGCAACCUUCCAAACGUGACUGCAAAUUUUAGAAAACGAGUAAUCCCUCUUUCGCUUAGUCCGUCGAGCAAGAACGUAUAUAAAACGCGAGGAAAAAUUGGCCGCGCGAACUCCUGGGAGCGAGAAGAGCCCAAAAUUCGCCUUCUACAAAAGCCUUGGUUUCUUUCAAGUCUGGAUCUUCCAACCAAACAUAAGGAUCAGAAAUCCUCGUGCGACCAUAGUCAGUUAUAGCGCUUUCAUCUCGACGAACAUUCGGAUAAGAGAAACGUUCAGACGCUAUUUUGAGUGUUCUACGUCGAGGACUGGGCCGACCGCGAAAGAUUGGUACGACUGAAUGACAUCAUCACUGUGCUGAAAAUCACGCACUGUGUACAAAAAACAUUGCAAUCAUGUGCAACCCACGCUUAAUUUUCACAGAUUUUAUGGUAUAUAAAGUGCCUUGCGCCUAGUGCAGAAACAAAACCAGCGAUUGACAAGGAAAGGCUAUAGUUUAGGAAUCCUGCGAUUCAGACUGAAAUGAACAAUUGCUCCUUACCUUUGAAAUUAGGAAAUUUACUUUACCAUCUUGUAGCCCCAGAGGAAUCAGCAGACCGUUAAAGGCAUUAACUGCUUCAAUCAAGCUACAUUCACUUUGAAAACGAGUUCAGGGUGCAGUCGGAACUUCUCAGUGAUGUUUCCUGGCAAAGAAAUUUUGCGGAGUGCUGUGCUUGUCGCCAUCGGCGGAAUAGUUGCAUUGUUGGUUUCAAAAUUGUUAGAGGGUGACGAAGGAGCAGUGGCUCAGAGAGACAUGAGGGAGAUCAGAGGAGAAGAUGAGUUGAACGAAGAUGAGAAGCAGCCACAAGAACAUGACGAGAGGUUGUGCUGAGAAGGGAAAUACGGCACAGGAGAGACUUUACAGCCUACAUCUUAACACUUUAACCGUUAGACGUCAGAUUUACCUGAAUUAACACAAUUCCUUUGCUUAGAACACUGAAGUGGGUCAGCUGUCACGGACAGUUUUAAUUUAAAGUAUUGUCGGUAAAUGCUACUCGGUAUCUAAUUCUUUUCGUUGCGCGUAGUUUUGUAAGAUGCUUGUUUGAUGCAUAGUACCCCACUACGAGCAGUAAGCACCGCGAAACUGUGUUUGUAAAUGAUACUGCCUUGUUACAUGACCGAUCAUUGUGUUGAUCAAUGCUAUUCAUGUGCAAGAACGGUUGUGUUUUUGCUGCGGUGACGUCAUGUUCAUGGCUCAUUCCACGUUGUUCAGUAAACAGUGAAUAGUUCGAAGUGAAAUAUUUUUACACGCAGCAUUUCAUUUAAAGAUGAACACCAAGAUACCGACUCAUGAUUUAGUCACCGCUUGGGAUCUAACUGCCCCGGCCCUUGGCCGACGUUAUACACUCACUGUCCAUAAUUUUUAUAUUAUUAAAUUAUACAUUGAUCACACCCAGCUCUGUUCAUUACCGACAAGAAGAUACAGCAGUUAAAUUUGCUCAGUAAUCCGAAAAGCACACUUUUGUAAACAACAGCAAAGGAAAGACGGAAAUUUCGAUGGUAUUGAUUUGAUUCCAUUCCUCCUCGUGUGAGAAAAGUGAAUUCUAUUAUAAUGGUUCAGGCCAUACACGCCGUAAGUUUCCUUAGCAAACAGUCUAAUUUGCUUACAAAAUAAAGAGGUCUGCUUUAGUCAGCUGCUAUAUGCUUGAAUGGGUUUUGAAGAUAAGUAACAAGGUCACUGUAAAUAGUCAAAAUAACUCUGCCCUUGAAGUACGAUAUUUAUGAUUUUGUUCAAUACAAUUUAAACGUUUCAGUCAGCCCCGAAAAUUAAAUACUUGAAAAUGCUAUUUCUUGACACCUUUGCGGUCUUUACGAUAUACGACCAAUCAAUUGUGUCAGCAUUUUUGGUGUGACAGUCACGGGUAUUCCCCUGCUAAGGACAGAAAAAGAACUUGAAAGCGAUCUGAACAAUAGGAUAUCAAAAAAAAAAAAAAA
rnacentral:lncRNA from 1 species